UACAGAGGCCUCGAGCGUUAUUCGGAAUCACUGGGCUUAAAGCGCGUGUAGGCGGGACGGCACGUCCGUCGCUGAAAUCCCCCGGCUCAACCGGGGAACUGGCGGGGAUACGACCGUCCUGGAGGGACGUAGGGGGACCUGGAACUUCCGGUGGAGCGGUGAAAUGCGUUGAGAUCGGAAGGAACGCCCGUGGCGAAAGCGAGGUCCUGGACGUUUUCUGACGCUGAGACGCGAAAGCCAGGGGAGCGAACGGG
rnacentral:rRNA from 1 species